UUUUUAGAAAUUGACACCAAGUAUAAAGGGUUUUUCUUUUCCUUUUCUUCUAGGGUAGGUAGGAAGUUUAGAAAUCACAUGAAAAUGUUCUCCUUGGGUGGUUGACUGGUUUGGAAACAAUAAGCAAAGGAGAAAACAAGUGUCUUUGAAAACUUUGUGAUUUUUUCAAUGAAAUCAUAUCAGAUUCUAACAUGUGAGUUAGGUUCUCUCUAAUGAAGGUAUUG
rnacentral:misc_RNA from 1 species